rnacentral:rRNA from 1 species
GAUGAACGCUGGCGGCGUGCCUAAUACAUGCAAGUCGAGCGAACAGACGAGGAGCUUGCUCCUCUGACGUUAGUGGCGGACGGGUGAGUAACACGUGGAUAAACUACCUAUAAGACUGGGAUAACUUCGGGAAACCGGAGCUAAUACCGGAUAAUAUAUUGAACCGCAUGGUUCAAUAGUGAAAGACGGUUUUGCUGUCACUUAUAGAUGGAUCCGCGCCGCAUUAGCUAGUUGGUAAGGUAACGGCUUACCAAGGCGACGAUGCGUAGCCGACCUGAGAGGGUGAUCGGCCACACUGGAACUGAGACACGGUCCAGACUCCUACGGGAGGCAGCAGUAGGGAAUCUUCCGCAAUGGGCGAAAGCCUGACGGAGCAACGCCGCGUGAGUGAUGAAGGUCUUCGGAUCGUAAAACUCUGUUAUUAGGGAAGAACAAAUGUGUAAGUAACUAUGCACGUCUUGACGGUACCUAAUCAGAAAGCCACGGCUAACUACGUG